rnacentral:lncRNA from 1 species
UAAAAAUAUAAAUACACAUUAUACAGUAUUGAUAAUGUUAGAGCCAGUGUCAGGACUGGGGCCAUGCUGGAACCAUGGAACCCUACUGCAUGCAGGAUUGGCCCCAUCCCUCUGGGGAGAACUGCUCUAGGGAUUGCAGGACUGGGCCCUUUCCCUGCAGCUGUAGCCCAGCCCCUCAGGAGGGCCACCUGUGGGAUCUGAGGACUGGCCUAUAUGAGAACAGGCUUUCCCUGAAGGUCUCUGGCCCUGCUGUGGGGUUAUUUUGGCCUUUUCUGUCUCCAUUGCCUUGCCUGUCUGCCUGCCUUGUUGUUCCUGCCCUGCCUGCCAGCCUCCUUGUUCGUGCCAUGCCUUCAUACCCAGUGGUUCCUGCCUUGCCUCUCUUUGCAUCCCCGGGUCCUGCUGCCUUGAUAGUGUUCCUCCUGACUUCAACUCCUGGACUGUCUGACCACCGUUUGUGUCGUCCACCCACUCAAAACCCUAGCUGGUUGGAUGGCCUCUGCUUGGGCUGUGGUCGUGCUCUGGACUGGGUCCUCGUGCCUUUGUUUCUGAACCCUGAUACUUUCUUCCAAGCAACCAACUUCAUGGUGGUUGGCCAUGGAUUUUAGAGGGAUGGAAUAUGAUGGCUGAGCCAUGAAUGAGGAGAAGAGCUCCAACUGGAAGAAGUGGAGUUUUUUCCUAUACACAGGCAGUGACGGGGAUAAAGACAAGCUGGGAAAGGAUCUCUGUUUAACUUGAAAGUGCUCCUCACAAAGAGAAGACUGGAAAUUUUCCACUGUGCAUUGCCGGCACCCAGCUUCAUCUCAGAACACCCUUUCCUUUUAGGGGCGCUCCCAAACCUGAACCCUGUACUAGAACCAACCCAGCAAAGACUCAAAGGCAUAUUUUUUUAAAGGGAGCCUCAGAAAACUUGUCCAGAGCUCUCCCUCCUUCCUAAUCCCCCUGUCUUUUCAGCCAUCUGGAGGGGCCCAAGGGAGGAAGGGUGCGGAAACGACCGGGAGCCCCUUCCCCGGCCAUUUGGGUCCGGACUGAGGAGAUCCCGGGUGCUCUGUGCCCUCUAGGAGGGGAACGGGUGCCUCGGGCGGGCAACUCUCUCCCCCCCAGGUGGGGCCGUUCCCACCUUCUGUGAGACACCCCCGCUCCCUGCUCCCGACUCCCAGAAGGCAGAGCUGAAGGAGCCUUAUCUGCAGUCACCCACUGUCAACUUUCACGACCUUUGCCAGCUCUUCCAGCAGCGGGAAGCCCGGGUAGGGGAACCGGGCGAAGACCUUCUUCAGGGCCGCCACCUGAU